rnacentral:rRNA from 1 species
GACGAACGCUGGCGGCGUGCCUAACACAUGCAAGUCGAGCGGAGAUGUACUGAAGAUUUAUCGGAUGUACAUCUUAGCGGCGGACGGGUGAGUAACGCGUGGGCAACCUGCCUUUCACUGGGGGAUAACACAGGGAAACCUGUGCUAAUACCGCAUGACAUCACGUAGGGCAUCCUAUGUGAUCAAAGGAGAGAUCCGGUGGAAGAUGGGCCCGCGUCCAAUUAGCUGGUUGGUGAGGUAAAGGCUCACCAAGGCGACGAUUGGUAGCCGAACUGAGAGGUUGAUCGGCCACAUUGGGACUGAGACACGGCCCAGACUCCUACGGGAGGCAGCAGUGGGGAAUAUUGCGCAAUGGGGGGAACCCUGACGCAGCAACGCCGCGUGAAGGAGAAGGUCUUCGGAUUGUAAACUUCUUUGAUGAGGGACGAAUAAAGUGACGGUACCUCAAAACAAGCCACGGCUAACUACGUGCCAGCAGCCGGGUAAACCGACG